rnacentral:rRNA from 1 species
UACGAAGGGGGCUAGCGUUGCUCGGAAUCACUGGCGUAAAGCGCACGUAGGCGGCUUUCUAAGUCAGGGGUGAAAUCCUGGAGCUCAACUCCAGAACUGCCUUUGAUACUGGAGAGCUUGAGUUCGGGAGAGGUGAGUGGAACUGCGAGUGUAGAGGUGAAAUUCGUAGAUAUUCGCAAGAACACCAGUGGCGAAGGCGGCUCACUGGCCCGAUACUGACGCUGAGGUGCGAAAGCGUGGGGAGCAAACAGGG